GGAGUGAAUGUGAAUGCUCUAAUAGAGAAGCUUGGGAGAGAGAGAGAGAGAUUGGCGACGAUGGUGGUCAAUCUCCGCCCUUAUUCAUCACCACCACCAUCACCGGCCCACACUGCCACCACGACCAUCGGCCAACCCCCAGCGCCCCUCCUCCACCAAACCCUCAAAAAGCACCACUUUAAACCCUAAAUUGUCAGAGAUCUUCGAUUCAAGAAGCAAAAACGCAUCUCCUAUGGGCUCCAAGCGGCCUAGCUUCGGUGACGGCGCAAGCCCCGGGAAGAUUUUAAUCGGUGGUUUAGCGAAGGAUACUACCAUAGGUACAUUAGUUAACUACUUUACAAAGUAUGGAGACCUGACGGAUUUGGUUAUCUUGAAAGAUCGGUAGACUGGUCAUAUGAGGGGCUUCAGGUUUAUUACGUAUGCGGAUCCUUCGGUUGCUGAAACACUGUUAUUGCUGAGACACAUGUUAUUAAUGGGAAACAAGUUCAAAAUGGGUUGCAUUUGAGUUGAUAAAAGAUGGUGUUGCACCUCGCGCCUUUAAUAACUAUGCUCAAACGAUUUGAAAAACAUUUUUAAGGCAGGACAUAAAUGUUGGCGGUAAGUACAUACCUUUAGGCUCAAGGUGUAUUUUAUUUCAUAUCUAAUGCAUGUUUUAAGGCAGGACAUAUUUUAUUUCCAUUCCAGCAACAUCUGAAAUAACUUAAUAUUAGGCUUCAAGAAAAAAAUAUAAAUCCUUGGCUAACAGUAUUUACAAGUAAAAUUACACAGCUGCCCUUCUAUUUUCUAUUCAAGCCACAUAUUUAACAUUUCUUCUCUUCUUCUCUUACCAGUAGUAUCAAAGCCACAUUAAGAGUGGUAGGGGUUUAAAGAAAAAGAAAGGUGUAAAAGAACACAACAAAAGUGUCAACAAUGGCUUCUGAAAAAGUUCCUACAUACCAACUCUUAACAUAUUUUCUACCUAGAUUUCAGAUCAAGUUAUUACAAGGGUAUUUAAAAAAAAUAUUUAUAAAUUAACCUUGAUUUGAGCCCUCUUGUUUCAAAUUCCGUUUCUCAAAAUGUCACUCUAAGCAUAGGCUAGGUUAAAAAAACGCGCUUGAAGCGCAAGUCAGCCUAAGGUGCAUAGUCUUGUGUUUCAGACUAAAAAAGGCAUACGGUGCAGCCUUGCGGCACGCCUUUCAUAUGGGAAGAUUUUAUGCAUCUACAUGUUAUACAUAUAGCCUUUUAGGUUGUAUAGAAACUACGUGCAUUGCUUAUUUAUGUCUAAAUUUUGAGUAACUAAUCCUACAAACCUUUGAGAACUAAUAAAUAAAUAUAUAAACAAAUUGCGACUCGGGUAUGAAAACCGCUGCGAUUUUGUGCUUUCCGUAUUGUGCCUUGGUUUUAAACCCUAUCACCUAGGAGCUUGGUUUAAAAAAGAGUGCGGGACUGAAGUAAUUUGAGUGAAUAAAUCUAUGGAGUGAAGACUAAAUUGAUGGAUUUAUCAAAUCUUUUAAGUAUAUCAGGUAAUGUUCCAAACCGAUGUUUCAUCUUUUAUUGUUAUUAUUUAUUAUUUUGGGCUUUUGUUAGUGACCAUCAUAAUUGUUUCGGCUCUCUUAGUAUACUUGGUCUCCCUUUGUAUCUAUUUUUUGGACAAAUAAGCUUAAAGCAAGUGUAUUCAUCUUAUUGGCUCUCUCAGUAUACUUGGUCUCCCUUUGUAUACUAUUUUUUGGACAGAUAAGCUUAAAACAAGUGUAUUCAUCGGAAGUUAGUCCGUUGAAUGUUUUAUUGUAAUCUUAAGCUAAUUAAUGCCUCACUAAAUUAAUACUCACAUAUCUUAUUACACAAACCUUACUAACCAAGCUCUUUACCAUCUCAGAUAACAGCAACACUUCAAAGAAGGGACGCGGGGAAUGAUACGGACGUCGAACACCUUUUGUACAGUUGCCAAGUAGGAAAAAAACGCAACUGUAGGCCGUACUUCAGCAAGCCAUGUUGUCAAGGAAAUUGUCUUUUGCGCAAGUUAUGUAACUAACAUGCUUAGUGUUAGUAACCUAAGUUGCAACUAUAACACAUGUACAAACCUAAUGGAUGUAACUCAAUGACAACUAGCUUAAUGUAAUGCGGCGGGUUACUUUUCUAGUUAAUUUACAUUUACAACA